GGAAAAUGAUAGUCCACUGUCUUGACCCUAUGCAUCACAAACCAUGUGAGGACUUAAAGGAUAUCGUAAACAUGGCUCUUCGAAUAUCUGCAAAGAAAACAUCUAAGAGGGAGCCAUCUUAGCAACUAGUGCAGGUGACAUCCAAAAAUUUUUCUUUACACAUUAGCUUAUGCAUUUGCACCAUUUAUAUAUGUGAGUACUAAUGUUAUUUUAUAAUUGAUCGAUUAGUGUCCAAGACAAGAAGGAGGGUUCGAAUGUGGCUACUUUGUUAUGAGAUUCAUUAAAGAGAUAAUUUUUUAUCCUACAAUUAUUGCUUCAAAGGUAUUACUUAUUUAAUGAAUUGUACAUAGUUUUAGGCUUCCAAAUGUUAUGCAUUUUAAUGUUAUUUUCUUAUUUGCUUUAAGUUUGGUAAUAAAAAAACAUAUUCUCAAGUAGAAUUUGAUGAAAUUAGAGGAGAAUGGGCUACUUUUGUGCUACAACUAAUCAUGAAUCAUGUUGAUGCAUCAUGAUCACCAUGCAUGGUAUACACUCUUGGGAGGGUGAAAUGGAGAAUAAAAAGAAAGAAGAAGGCAACAAGAUUUUGGGUUUUUAAAUGCAACUCUUAUGUCAUACGUUGUA